UACGUAGGGGGCAAGCGUUUGUCCGGAAUUAUUGGGCGUAAAGAGCGCGUAGGCGGUCCGGUAAGUCGGCUGUUGAAAGUCAAGGGCUCAACCCUUGAAAGCCGGCCGAUACCGUGUCGGACUAGAGUCCGGAAGAGGCGAGUGGAAUUCCCGGUGUAGGCGGUGAAAUGGCGCAGAUAUCGGGAGGAACAACCAAUGGCGAAGGCGAGUCCCGUGGACAACACCGUGACACUGAGG
rnacentral:rRNA from 1 species